rnacentral:rRNA from 1 species
UUGAACGCUGGCGGCAUGCUUUACACAUGCAAGUCGAACGGCAGCACGGGGGCAACCCUGGUGGCGAGUGGCGAACGGGUGAGUAAUAUAUCGGAACGUACCCUAGAGUGGGGGAUAACGUAGCGAAAGUUACGCUAAUACCGCAUACGAUCUAAGGAUGAAAGUGGGGGAUCGCAAGACCUCAUGCUCGUGGAGCGGCCGAUAUCUGAUUAGCUAGUUGGUAGGGUAAAAGCCUACCAAGGCAUCGAUCAGUAGCUGGUCUGAGAGGACGACCAGCCACACGGGAACUGAGACACGGUCCAGACUCCUACGGGAGGCAGCAGUGGGGAAUUUUGGACAAUGGGCGAAAGCCUGAUCCAGCAAUGCCGCGUGAGUGAAGAAGGCCUUCGGGUUGUAAAGCUCUUUUGUCAGGGAAGAAACGGUGAGAGCUAAUAUCUCUUGCUAAUGACGGUACCUGAAGAAUAAGCACCGGCUAACUACGU